CGCCGUUCAGAAACUUAACUUGAUGAACAAAGACUGUGCUACUGCAAAUUAUUAUCGUACUAUUGAGGAUGGCUAUUGCACUGCACUUCAAUACUUCUACUGUAGCACAGUCAAGAGGAAGCAGCAGGUGAUCCGAGUGCAGGUGAAAGCCAGUGAGAAUGCAGACGACGCUACACUGAGUGCACUCGUCUUACGCAAGUUACAGCAGACGCUGGGCGAUCAGGACGUCACACUGACAUGGAAGAAACAACCGAACGGAAAAGUCUUCCAGAAGAAAAAGACUGUGCGAAAAAGUAGUAAUGCCAGUACUCCAGUUUGCUCACGUUCUUUCAUGUAGUGAAAUUUAUCAAAUUAAUGCUUCAUUUUAUUCUUAGCUACAGAUAUCUGAAUUAAACUAGAUUAAAUCACAACUUACAAGUAAUUAGUCAAAAAUAUUUCCAUAUAUUAAUUUUGCAUUUGUUCAUUUAGCAGACAGAUAUGUACACCUGAAUGAGCUAACAAAUGUAAACACCUUUUAGCACAGUAAAAUCUUCAUGAAGAAUAAAUAAAGGCCUAAAAAACUUCCUGCAUACACGAGGAAAAAGAGCAGGUGUGUUUCUUUUUUAGUUUCCGCGCUCAUAUAUUUUUAUGAAUUCAAUUGUAAUAAGCAAAAGUUGUUUUAUUCCACGUUUCUUCAAGAAGGUGAGUGAAGAGAAUUUGUUUGUAUCAUCAUAAAAGAUCACGGUUUUCAAAUAACCUCAAUUAAAGUCCCUGUAAAGUCAUAUUAAAGUAUGUGUUCUGAGUUUGUCACACCACAGAAAAAUGUGUUAUUAACCACCCAGCCAAAUUUGAAUUAUUAAAAAAAAAAAAAAAAAAAAAAAAAAAGCCAAAUAAAUAAGUUAUCAAAAUCGUGAAAAAAUAAGCAGUAUUCUCUGCUCUCAAACGCUGGGGGCGUGUCCGCUGUCUGAGCUGAAAACACACCCACUCGUGAGAGCUGCCGUCUCUCAACUAAUGAGUCAAUUAAUGAUGCAUAUAAGCAAAAGAAUCAUGUUAGAGGGUUGCAAAAUUAAGUAGUGUUACUGUGGACUACCUACUAAUUAUAACAUAAGCACACAAGGCAACUUACCCUCAUUGGUGGGCACGUACUGCCGACUGUUGUCAACAGAUGUCUGCGCCGCGAGAUGGGAGGAUGAAGGCUGGGACGGGAGAGACUCUGUCCGGCCCCAUAUCAUCGGUUGUCGGUGGGACGGGAGGAUGAAGGCCAAGGCGGGAGGUGUAAAAU